rnacentral:lncRNA from 1 species
GACCUUAGAGGUUUUUUGUGUUUUUCGUCUUUGAUAAUAGUAUUGUAACCUUCUUAAAACUAGGCGAUAUAACCAGCUUAAUACAGCAAAAGAUAACAUUGAAUCCAUGCAUACAAGGACAUGGCUUCAAAGGAAAACAAAAAGCAUUUUUCAAUACAGGUUCAGUUUAUUCGCAAAGUGACAGAUACAUCUAAAGACAAGUACUGUAUUUGUUUAAAAAUAAAUACAAAACACAAAGACUAGUGCCCAGCAAAACCGAAUUAACUUCAAUGGGAGAAUGAGAUACCUGUUAUGAAAUGCCUUUUCA